GGAGACAGGUCGAUUGUUGGGACCUUUCUGAGGCUUUUAUUUUGGUUGGGAGGUUAUUGUCGUUUCCUUUACAUUUCCUUUGAAUCCCUGAGCUCAGUCUGUCAGGCUGAUCAAUCUGAUACACCUGAUCAAUUUACAGUUUUUGUUUUCUGUUUCCUUUUGAAGAAGCUAAAUGAAUCAAGUCUAACAUUGCCACAGGAAGUGACCUCAGCACUGCCCAGUUUGAUGGACGCCACUCCAUCAGGCUCUGAUUACAACAGAAGCUACGUAAGAGCAGAGACUUAUCAAGGAUUACCAGACGCCAGCUGCCAGCAGCAGCCAGGUCCAGACCAAGCUCUGGUCUUGUGACCUGAACCUGAGACCAGUCUAUUUCCGUGUGUAGGUUGCAGGUGUGAAGGACACGCUUCUGAGUAGCAGGGAGUCCAGCUCAUCCUGGACCAGGACCAGUCUCCUGGGAGCUCUGAGCUUGUCCCCUUCUGAGGUAAAAACCAGAGUCCACCCUGACAUUCUACCUGACUACAUCUGUCUCUGUCUGAUGUCUGUCUCUGUCCAGCUGUUCAGUCUGUGUGAGGACCUAAAGCUACAGCGUCCAGCUCUCACUUCAACCCCGGUCUGCUCCCACAAACACCCCACCAGCUGGGACCAGGACCAGAACCUGGCUUGUGUGCACUGCAGCAGAACCCCGGCCAAGGUCAGAGACCGGGUGAGAGCACUGUGGGCAUCAGCUCCCCGAACGCCAACGCCACUGAAGAUCAGUGCCAGCAGCCAGGACGAGGUCCCAGUCCGUCAAACCAGGAUGAUGAAUGAGACCUGGGAGCAGAGGAGCCUGGACCCUGAGAGUCCACAAUCUGACAGCAGCUCUGAGGUCUGACACAACAACACUACAACAACAUUAAAACAUCAUGACACCUCAGAACAACAACAAUACAGACUUUAGAAUCUGUCUCGGAUGGAUCAAGGUCCAACAGAACCAAACUCAGAUCUAGCCCUGGUCUCAUGUGGAGUCCUAAAAUAGAGCUGAACCUUAAAGCCACAUCAAGAGGAGGUCUCAAGUCCACAGAAACCUCCAGCUGGUUCCACAGGGUGGGCCUGCAGGUCUGGAUCAACUGUUGACCCCUGUCAUCCAGGUCCAGGGGGAGAGUCUACUGACCUCGAUCAUGCAGGACGAAGGCCAGUCCAGCUCCGCCCCACAAGACCAAGGCCAGUCCCUCUCCGCCCCUGGUUGUGAGGAGGUUGGGUUUUUCCCAUUGGAGGGGCAGGUGGAGGUGUGGUGGUGUCAGCAGCCAAUCGGAUACUUGCCUUCUCCAGAAUGUCCUGCCCACAGACUGACCCCCUUUGAGGUAAAAAAAAAAAAAAAACCUCAAGACUUAAAGUUCCCUCUGAGUAUUGUGGAUGGACUGAGUGUGUGUCUGUGUGUGUCAGCUUAGUGGUGAGUUACAGGUUGUGAUGUUUGGGAAAACGGCUGAUCAGAGGAGUCUGACGGAGCAGGCCAGACUCUACCUGGAGUCCUGAUCUUCGUCCUGAUCUUCAUCCCCUCAAAGCCAGUCAGUCUGUUUCUGACAGCUGAUCUUUUAUUGAUUUAUUGGAGCUUUCAUUGAAAGAUAAAAUAUGUUUAUUGUUUAACAUUUUAAACUUUUAUUGUCAUUUUAAAUUUAAAAGCAUUAAUUUAUUGAUAGAUUGACUUCAGCACUUUAUCAGCCUCUGACUGUCUGAGCACAGCUGAUGGAACAUAUU
rnacentral:lncRNA from 1 species